rnacentral:sRNA from 1 species
CGGACCAAGUGUGUCAAGUCCGAGAUCGACGUCAACAAAUGCGAUGCUGUUGUUCAAUGUAUCAUAUAGUUCAUUUGAUGUAAUCGAUUAUGGGAUUCAUUCCGUUUGAACAUGGAUGAUCGACUUCGUUUGAACUUCACACUGUAAUCGAAUACGUUUGACAAUGAUAAUCAUGUUGACGAUAAGACUAAACGACAAACCUAAAAAAGUAACAGAAUCCUAAGUACUGCAAAGAAGGAAGAAAAUAGCUUAAUAGAGAGAAACAGCUACUAUCCAUAGCAAAUGUUUAUUACACAAAACCUUUCUGUGUUCUAAUAUUGAUUGUGUGUAAAGCUGGACUUGUACGAAUUAAGCGAAGAAGCGAUGAAACAAUGACGUCGUAAACACGUUGAGUGUGCGACGUCACACUCGGAACACAAGAACAUGUGACGUCAUCGGCAGCAGACGAC